rnacentral:rRNA from 1 species
AGUGAACGCUGGCGGUAGGCCUAACACAUGCAAGUCGAACGGCAGCACAGUAAGAGCUUGCUCUUACGGGUGGCGAGUGGCGGACGGGUGAGGAAUACAUCGGAAUCUACUUUUUCGUGGGGGAUAACGUAGGGAAACUUACGCUAAUACCGCAUACGACCUACGGGUGAAAGCAGGGGAUCUUCGGACCUUGCGCGAUUGAAUGAGCCGAUGUCGGAUUAGCUAGUUGGCGGGGUAAAGGCCCACCAAGGCGACGAUCCGUAGCUGGUCUGAGAGGAUGAUCAGCCCAACUGGAACUUGAACAAGGUCCAGACUCCUACGGGAGGCAGCAGUGGGGAAUAUUGGACAAUGGGCGCAAGCCUGAUCCAGCCAUACCGCGUGGGUGAAGAAGGCCUUCGGGUUGUAAAGCCCUUUUGUUGGGAAAGAAAAGCAGCAGGUUAAUACCCCGCUGUUCUGACGGUACCCAAAGAAUAAGCACCGGCUAACUUCGUG